rnacentral:rRNA from 1 species
UACGGAGGGUGCUAGCGUUGUUCGGAAUUACUGGGCGUAAAGCGCGUGUAGGCGGCCGAUUAAGUCUGGUGUGAAAGCCCGGGGCUCACCCCCGGAAGUGCGCUGGAAACUGGUCGGCUAGAGUAUGGGAGAGGAAAGUGGAAUUCCCGGUGUAGCGGUGAGAUGCGUAGAUAUCGGGAGGAACACCAGCGGCGAAGGCGGCUUUCUGGACCAAUACUGACGCUGAGACGCGAAAGCGUGGGGAGCAAACAGG